AAAAAAUAGAUUUAAGAAGAUAAUAGAGAAAAAUAAAAAAACAAAAUCACCUUCCGAUUUAUGUUUUCGUUCCUUGUUUCCCUUUUUUUUGUAUUUUCCUCUGCUUUUUGUAUUCGAUGUAUGCUAUUUGUUGUUUGAAUCUAGUGCUGAUAUUGUUAUUCCGAAAUGGUUAAAUUUGCUUCUCUUUUUUUCAAUCCCCCUUUACAAUUGUUUAUUUCUCAGCUUUAUAGCCGACUACAAAACUAGGAAAAUAUUAUUUAUUUUUUGUCCUAUUCUAUUUGGUCUGCUUCUGUCUUUGCAGGGUAUGGAGGUGUCAGGGAAGUGGAGGAGAAGCAUGCGGUGGCAGACGGUAUGGGAGUGACCAGG
rnacentral:lncRNA from 1 species